GUCUCUGCCUCAGGGUCCAACCAUCAGGAAGGUUUACAGGAAGCAGAUGAGAAGGUUACAGAGAGGAGUGAGGCUGGGCAAGAGAGGAAGUUGAAGGGUCACCAUGACACACGCAGGUCAGUCUGAUGGAGGCAAUUCCUCUCCCCGCGGUCUCGCAUCCCAGAAGACUCCAGCUUGUGUCAGUGGACAAAAACUAACCAGUACAAGCCCUCUCCUGCUGCAGACACUUUGGCACAGCAGGCCUGGCAUCCAGCAGGGGGCUCAGAGGAUUGGAACAAGAGAAGGGAGAGGUUGGCUGUUGUCUCUGGAGGCACCAUUACCUGUUUUCAACAGCAGCCGUCAGGGUUGGCUCUGGGUCCUGCCCUGCCCUGGGGCGCUCAGGGGACACAGGGCUCGGCUCAGCGGUGUCGGCUCAGCGUAGCCUUAAGCGCCGCCAUCCCUGCUCGCCCACAGUAGUGCCGAAGGCGACGGCCCCCGGAGAGCCUGUGCACGCGUAGACUUUGAAGCUGGAGGAGACCCGCCCCACACCUCCGGUUCCAGGAUCGUCCUUUCUGGAGGCGACACUUCUUCACUCGUGCUCUCUCCAUCCGCAGGAGCUGGAGCUGGGAGCAGCUGCUCUCAGCAGUCCUGUCCAACUCCCCUGGCCUCAGACAUCUGCUAACCUGGAGUUUGGGACUGCUAGGGUCAGCCUUGAGUCUACCUAGCUUUUACUGCGGGUCUAGACAGAGAAGACUAUUUAUGUUAAAGAAGGAGAAGUGCACUCUGGGACGGAGUUUUAUGGUACAUGCCCUUCACUGGUCCUGGGGAAGAACUCUGAAGAAGCCCACUGUCCCUUAGUCUUUUUGGCCUCCCAAACCUACUUUUUUCAGAUCGCAGCUUGGCGAGCAUCGGGGCCCAGCUCUGUACUGUGGACAUUGGCUCCACCUAGUGGUGAGGAAUUAAAUUUCAGCAGAUCAUCCUGAAGUGAAUGAGGCAGGCAACUGGUGAAUACCUCAGAAGAUAGAAGUCUUUUUUUUUUUUUUCUUUCUGCCUCAUUCCUUGCUACAGACAUGGCUGAAGGGUGACUCAGAUCCUCCGUCCUUCCAUCUGUAUUUGAAGGGAGGCUGGAUACUUGCCCUUGUGUCCAGUGUCUGCCUUUCAAAGCCUCCCUUCAGGGCACUGUCUUUGUGCAGAAGUCUCGUGGGUCAGCUCACACCGAUGCCACCCGCUUGGAAGGUAGAGCCUGUGGUCACAGAAAAAGUGCCAGCAACUUCUCCGUGUCCACUCUGGAAGCCAGGGCAUGUGGCCCUUCCCUAUCCACUCUUCCUAGGAGGAAAGAAAUGGCCUUGCCAGUCCUGACAAUCACUUGUUUUGGGUUCUGUGCCCUUUGCAGCUUAAGCCACUGGUUGCAGUAAAGGAAGAUUCUGUAGACUGAUGCACCAACCAAGGACCAGGCAUGAAGAGGACCUGGACCCCCUCCUCAGGUGUAGCCCAUAGGCGGCUCAGUCUUCAUGUGGGUCCUUGAGUAAAGAGAACAGGGGCUGUCACUGACAUGAACUCAGUUGCCUGCUCUUUCAUCACUUCUCCCUGGUGGUGAGGCCUUGCCAGGCCACAGGGGAAGAGGAUCCAGGCAGUCGAGAUGAGACCUGAUAGGCUGGGGUCAAAUGGCAAGGGAGGAGGACUCCCUCUUUCAGUGGACUAGGGGAGAGGGAUGGGGAAGAAGGAGGAAGGAAGGAACUAGGAGGAGAUGAGGGAGGGAGCUAAAAUUGGGAUAUAAAGUGAAUAAGUAGUAAAAAGAUUCAAAAGUUUAAAAAAUUGAAAACAAAGGGACUCUGUGAGGGACAGAGAGGUGGCUUAUUGGUAGAAGUGCCUGUUGCUCUUCCAGAGGACCUGCGUUGGUUCCAGCUGGCUCACGGUUGUCUGGAAUUCCAGUUCCUCGAGUCUAUCCAGGUGCCUCCUCGGGCACCCCUUCACUUGUAGCAAACACACACAGACACACACACACACACACACACACACACACAAAUCUUUAAAGAAGCAGUACUCUUGUCACAUGACAUGAUAUGACAUUGCUCUGGAUCCCUGUUUUGACUUGCCAAAUCCUCUGCCACCACAGUCCUGCCGAGGCAUGUGUGUAUGUGUGUGUGAGUGUGUGUGCACACCCAUGCAUAGGGUUCUGGGUCUGCUCACCCAGUAGGAACUCACUGCUGGGCACAUGUGAACUUGAUAGUUUCAAAAAAAAAAAUGCUUGGCCCUAAGAUGAGGAUCCUGCCCCAAAGAAAACCAAUAAAUUCUUAAUAAAAUAUGGAACUGUAACAUUUUAUUAACCUCAUCAAUUCCUGAAUUUAGUAUCCAUAAAAGCUUCGUUAGGUUUGAAAGAAUGUGUGGGCUAGGUUUCUCUCUUUGAGAAGUCUCAGUUACAAAGAAGCUACUUCUAGCUGGAUGGGCUCAAGAGAAACAUUAGAACUAUCCUUUAAAAACAAAAGCAAACUUUGGGGCAAAUUUUAGUAUUUCACUACAAGCCUUGAGAGGGAGGGAAGUGGACUAAAGUUGAAGUGCCCAGGCUUACACGGGUGCUGAGUCACCAGCAUCUAGGUGGAAAGCUUUGCGUGGGCUGCUGUGAAGGAGACAGGGGCGGGGGAGACAGUGGGGAGGUCCGGUCUGAGCUGAGUGCCCUCUCUGCAGCCUGGGUAUCCACCCUGGGGAAGUUCUCCCAGGCGGCACUGAGUGGGGCCCCCAGGCUGGUCCUCAGAAGUGGCGCUUGUGGGGUCUCUAGCUGGGAGCAUCCUCUGUGAGAGUGAAAAUCACACCGAAGGAACUUUGCUAGUGUUGAGAGGCGGUAAGGACCAUCUCAGUGCUGCAUUGCAUGCGUGCAUGUGUGCGUGCAUGUGUGUGUGCCUGCAUGUGUAUGUGUGUCAUGAAGCUGGCCACCCUUUGCCUGCAGGUGUCUUGAGGACUUGGGUACAUAUCAAAGGGUUAGUAACUCUCACAGUGUAGACAUAUUCACCAAAUGCCUACAUCCCGUCCUUUAUCCUCUAGCUGUCACCGUGUCCCAGUCACACACAUGUCUUCAACUCCAAGAGAAGUUGCUUCUUCAAAGAGUCUCGUUAGUUAUUGCUUUGUAAUGGAUUGGCAUUUCCUGCUGUCCCUGUCUUCCUUGGAACAGGGAUUCAGACAUUAGAGUUCGUGUUUCCCGAACUGCCCCCAAUAAAGAUGCCAAGUAAAGUCCUUUGACCUUUACAGUC